rnacentral:rRNA from 1 species
UACUAGAGUAGCACUCGCAUAUCAAUAAGCGGAGGAAAAGAAACUAACAAGGAUUCCCCUAGUAACGGCGAGUGAAGCGGGAAGAGCUCAAAUUUGAAAUCUUAAAGGGUUUCCCUUUACGAAUUGUAGUUUAAAGAAGUGUUUUCUGUUGAGGUUUUGGUAAAAGUUCUUUGGAAUAGGACAUCAUAGAGGGUGAGAAUCCCGUAUUUGACCUUUACUUUCAACUUUGUGAUACACUUUCAAAGAGUCGGAUUGUUUGGGAAUGCAGUCCAAAAUGGGUGGUAAAUUUCAUCUAAAGCUAAAUAUUGGCGAGAGACCGAUAGCGAACAAGUACCGUGAGGGAAAGAUGAAAAGAACUUUGAAAAGAGAGUUAAACAGUACGUGAAAUUGUCAAAAGGGAAGCGUUUGACACCAGUGUUGUUUUUCUGAAAAUCAAUUAAAGAACUGUUUAUGCUAAGCUGUUUAGACUUUAUCAGCUAUCUGUUUAGUUUUAGGCUUUUCUUUAAUGCACUUUUCAGUUAACAAGUCAACAUCAAUUUCUUUUGCUGUAAAAAAGCUUGAGGAAGGUGGCUUGAGAUUCGUCUUAAGUGUUUAUAGCCUCUUGCCUAUGCAGUCGGAGAGAUUGAGGUCUGCAGCGUAGAUCCUUCGGGGCUAAGUGCAUUUGUGCUAAGUUAUAGCAUUUUAUAGACAACUUGUUGACUAUGAUUUGUCUUGUAGCUUACUCGCUUAUGUUAUUUUACCUACGCUUAGGAUGUUGAGCGCAUGUCUCUCUCU